GAUGAACGCUGGCGGCGUGCCUAAUACAUGCAAGUCGAGCGAACGGACGAGGAGCUUGCUUCUCUGAUGUUAGCGGCGGACGUGUGUGUCACACGUGGAUAACCUACCUAUAAUACUGGGAUCACUUCGGGAAACCGGAGCUAAUACCGUAUAAUAUUUUGAACCGCAUGGUUCAAAAGUGAAAGACGGUCUUGCUGUCACUUCUAGCUGGAUCCGCGCUGCAUUAGCUAGUUGGUAAGGUAACGGCUUACCAAGGCAACGAUGCAUAGCCGACCUGAGAGGGUGAUCGGCCACACUGGAACUGAGACACGGUCCAGACUCCUACGGGAGGCAGCAGUAGGGAAUCUUCCGCAAUGGGCGAAAGCCUGACGGAGCAACGCCGCGUGAGUGAUGAAGGUCUUCGGAUCGUAAAACUCUGUUAUUAGGGAAGAACAUAUGUGUAAGUAACUGUGCACAUCUUGACGGUACCUAAUCAGAAAGCCACGGCUAACUACGUG
rnacentral:rRNA from 1 species